rnacentral:rRNA from 1 species
AAUUAGUUUUUUUAUUGGAAAAUUGCAUGAAAGAGGACAUUAAAUUAUUAUUUUCUUUUUUUAUUUAUUUAAAUUUUUAUUUUAAAUGAAAAUAUUUAAAUUUUAUUAUUAGACAAAAAGACCCUAUGAAGCUUAAAAUUUUUAAAUAUAAUUAAGAUAGGUAAUUUAAAAUUUAUUAUUUGGGGAAAAUAUUAAUAAUUUUAUUAAUAAAUUUUAAAAAAAAAGAUCCUGAGAGGAAAUAUGAAAUAGCUCCUCUAGGGAUAACAGCAUAAUAUUUAUUAGAGUUCUUAUUAAUAUAAGUGU